UGGCGGACGGGUGAGUAAUGUCUGGGAAACUGCCUGAUGGAGGGGGAUAACUACUGGAAACGGUAGCUAAUACCGCAUAACGUCGAAAGACCAAAGAGGGGGACCUUCGGGCCUCUCGCCAUCGGAUGUGCCCAGAUGGGAUUAGCUUGUUGGUGGGGUAAUGGCUCACCAAGGCGACGAUCCCUAGCUGGUCUGAGAGGAUGACCAGCCACACUGGAACUGAGACACGGUCCAGACUCCUACGGGAGGCAGCAUG
rnacentral:rRNA from 1 species